rnacentral:lncRNA from 1 species
GGGAAAUGUAUGCAAGUUGCAAAAGCUGGUCAUCAGGAACAUGAAGUAUAAUCAUCUCUUUUUGAAAUGAAGCAUCAGAAGAAUACAGUUGGAAAAAUAGAAAAGAAAGAAACAGGUUUUCAUAAGAAGGAAGGCAGAGGAGAGAGAAAGAGGACACCAAACUAAAGAAAAAAUGAGCCUGAUGUGGCAGGGCCAGAGGAAGGAACAGAAGCAUCCAGAGUCAACUUCAUAUCGUUGGGAACAAAGUUUCUAAAUUUCUGUUGAGGCUGCUGAAGAGUAUGCGAAUGAGAAAAAGAGGCACGUUAUGCUGGAAGAAGAGCUUCCAAACAAUGUAUAAACUGUUGGAAGUUUUAAAAAUACCAGGACUAUUAGUUUCACUAUGAAGAUAAAAUUGAAUGUAAU